GUUGCUUACAGGAUCAUGCAGUGUUGCAGCAGUUGAAACAGGUAAGUAGAUUCAAUAUGGUAGAUCAAGCAGGUAAGUCACUUCAGAUUGAAAUAAUGCAGAUAAAUACAGGAUGUUUUCAGGAGCCAGGAUCAGAAGUUCUAUGUCAGAACACUGGCUUCAAUGUAAAGGUCAUGUGAAGAGUUGGGUGUGGCCUUUUAUAGCAGACUUGGAAGAUCAUAUGAGGCAG